rnacentral:rRNA from 1 species
GACGAACGCUGGCGGCGCGCUUAACACAUGCAAGUCGAGCGAAGCGGCGGCCGGGUGAGUAACACGUGAGUAACCUGCCUUAGACAUUGGGAUAGCCUCAGGAAACCGGGAUUAAUACCAAAUGGUCUAGGAUGGACUCGCGUCCCAUUAGCUAGUUGGUGGGUAACGGCCCACCAAGGCGACGAUGGGUAGCCGGCCUGAGAGGGGGAACGGCGACAUUGGAACUGAGAAACGGUCCAAACUCGACGGGAGGCAGCAGUGGGGAAGAUUGCACAAUGGAGGGAACUCUGAUGCAGCGACGCGGCGUGAACGAAGAAGGCUUUCGAGUCGUAGAGUUCUGUUAUAUGGGAAGCGGUACCAUAAGAAAAAGCCCCGGCUAACUACGUGCCAGCAGCCGCGGUAAUUC